UACGAAGGGGGCUAGCGUUGUUCGGAUUUACUGGGCGUAAAGGGCGCGUAGGCGGAUUUUUAAGUCAGGGGUGAAAUCCCAAGGCUCAACCUUGGAACUGCCUUUGAUACUGGGAAUCUUGAGUCCGGGAGAGGUGAGUGGAACUGCGAGUGUAGAGGUGAAAUUCGUAGAUAUUCGCAAGAACACCAGUGGCGAAGGCGGCUCACUGGCCCGGAACUGACGCUGAGGCGCGAAAGCGUGGGGAGCAAACAGGG
rnacentral:rRNA from 1 species